UACGGGGGGGGUAAGCGUUGUUCGGAUUUACUGGGCGUAAAGGGCGCGUAGGCGGCGCAACAAGUCACUUGUGAAAUCUCCGGGCUUAACCCGGAGCGGCCAAGUGAUACUGUCGUGCUAGAGUGCGGAAGGGGCUACUGGAAUUCUCGGUGUAGCGGUGAAAUGCGUAGAUAUCGAGAGGAACACCUGCGGCGAAGGCGGGUAGCUGGGCCGACACUGACGCUGAGGCGCGAAAGCCAGGGGAGCGAACGGG
rnacentral:rRNA from 1 species